rnacentral:rRNA from 1 species
GACGAACGCUGGCGGCGUGCUUAACACAUGCAAGUCGAGCGGUAAGGCCCUUCGGGGUACGACGAGCGGCGAACGGGUGAGUAACACGUGGGUGACCUGCCUCUAGCUCUGGGAUAAGCCUGGGAAACUGGGUCUAAUACCGGAUAUGACUCCACGGCGCAUGUUGUGGGGUGGAAAGCCUUGUGUGGCUAGAGAUGGGCCCGCGGCCUAUCAGCUUGUUGGUGGGGUGAUGGCCACCAAGGCGACGACGGUAGCCGGCCUGAGAGGCGACCGGCCACACUGGGACUGAGACACGGCCCAGACUCCUACGGGAGGCAGCAGUGGGGAAUCUUGCGCAAUGGGCGAAAGCCUGACGCAGCGACGCCGCGUGAGGGAUGAC